CAAUCGGCCCUUUUCAGGGCCAUCAUAAUAUUAUAACGUACAGAC
rfam:Trichomalopsis sarcophagae strain Alberta scaffold442, whole genome shotgun sequence.